CCCAACAAUUUUUGUUUUCCCCACUUCAAUACCCCCUUUCUUAGUGAACCUGCGGAGGGAUCAUUACAGAGUGUAAAAACUCCCAAAACCCAUGUGAACAUACCUUUUUGUUGCUUCGGCGGGAUCGCCCCGGGCGCCUUGUGUGCCCCGGAGUCAGGCGCCCGCCGGGGGACCCAAACUCUUGUUUUUAACGAGUAUCUUCUGAGUAACGUUUUUAAAUAAAUAAAAACUUUCAACAACGGAUCUCUUGGUUCUGGCAUCGAUGAAGAACGCAGCGAAAUGCGAAAAGUAAUGUGAAUUGCAGAAUUCAGUGAAUCAUCGAAUCUUUGAACGCACAUUGCGCCGCCAGUAUUCUGGCGGGCAUGCUUGUCUGAGCGUCAUUUCAACCCUCAUGCCCCCCGGGGCGUGGUGUUGGGGAUCGGCCGAAGCCCGCAAGGGACGGGCCGUCCCCUAAAUAUAGUGGCGGACCCGCUGUGGCCUCCCCUGUGUAGUAGUGAUAUUCCACAUUGGAGCAGCAGCGAGACCUGCCGUUAAACCCCCAACUUUCUAAGUGACACUCAGAUCAAGUAGAUACCCGCUGACUU
rnacentral:rRNA from 1 species